GCGGAUGUAGUGGAUGGUACACCGCUGCAUUUCAUUAUAUGAUGCGAAAUAAUGAAAGAAAGUUGAAACGGUUGCUGGGGUUCGACUCCCCGCAUCCGCA